AUCAGUUUACAAAAAAAUAAAUUGUCCUCUCAAACUAAUGUGUUGUCUUAUUUUCUCACUUUGGCUGGUACAGUGAUACCAAUCUAAUUGCAGUCGAGGGGAUAUGUGAUAACUUGAAACUGAGCACAGAACGUUCUUUCUUGGUUUGCAUUUGGUGUAACCCCCCUUGAUUGUUCUUUUUCCUCUGUCUUAUAAUCCUCUGAUUGUCAAUCCAGUCAUAUAUUGAUGAUGUAUUGAUCAUUGGUUAUCAGAAGUUUUCUACACAUUGCUGCUGGGUAGAGCAUCUAUUGCAACUACAAUUGGCGAUAUCUACACAGAUCUAUACAUAAAAGAUAAGUAGGAAGUAAGCUUCUAUAGUGUGACGUAGAGGUAUUGGCCAUACACCAUGAAUGAUAGAGGCUGUGCAGCUGAUAUUCAUAGUUUAAUUACUUUUUCCUCCAAAGAGAUACAUAUUUUUAGCUAUAAUGUGUUAGCUUGCUGACAGUACAUCGAUAUAUUCUCCAAUCUGGUUCAACUAUGCCUAUACUCUUUAGUUUUAUGUUGAUGUUUACACUCUUUCUUCUGGUCUGGAGUCUUGUAUUUUUUUUCUGAGGUGUGUACUUCACUUUUAUGUUGUAUACACAAGUAUUUUCAGAUAAAUAAAAGCAAGAACAUUAGAGAGCAUGCAGGGCCCUGAAUUUGGAGAAUCUAGGCGUAUAUCUGUACAAUAUUAUUGAGGUAAUUUUGAAUUUCUGAAGCUUGGUCUGGGCUUAUGGUGCUUAGUUUUUCAGUGGGUUUUGCCGAGCAACUGAAAUUUCCAACUACUUCUAUUAGCAUUAUUGCACCUGAUCAUGGCUGAUUCUGCACUAUUCCCCUUCCUUGAUCUAUUCGUGACACAUCUAAAUUCAUUUGUGGAUCCUUACUCUGUAGUACGGGGACCCUGAGGUCCUUGGAGCCACACACGUUGCCACAUGUUAAUUAUCUUAUCGAUUGGCGUUAGUAGGAGGUAUCGAAUAUAGAUGGACUAUCUUCGUUAUUGAAUUGGCGUUAGUAAGAGGUAUUGAAUGUAGAUGGGCUAUCUUGGUUUUUGAAUGCUAGGUUGUCGGGCACUCGGGAUGAUGAUGUAUGGCCAGGGGUAGGCAAGCUCCCAAACUUGCACGAGUACCCUGACUUUUUUUUUGAGAGUACCCUCACUGGAACUUCUCAAAACUGUCUACUGUAUUAGUCUUGACGCCAAUGGUCUUGAUCUGCUUGAGUUUAUAGUAAUCAAACAUGUGUAUCCGACUAUUCGUGCUACUUGAUCCUUGCAGAAAAACAGAGAAGAAGAGGGGCUCUUGUAAGAAUCUUG
rnacentral:lncRNA from 1 species